UACGUAGGUGGCAAGCGUUGUUCGGAAUUAUUGGGCGUAAAGGGCGCGUAGGCGGUUUGUUAAGUCGGCUGUGAAAGCCCGGGGCUCAACCCCGGAGGGUCAGCCGAUACUGGCAGACUAGAGUACGGAAGAGGUAGCUGGAAUUCCCGGUGUAGCGGUGAAAUGCGCAGAUAUCAGGAGGAACACCGGUGGCGAAGGCGGUUCUCUGGGCAUUACCUGACGCUGAGGAGCGAAAGUGUGGGGAGCGAACAGG
rnacentral:rRNA from 1 species